AGUGAACGCUGGCGGUAGGCCUAACACAUGCAAGUCGAACGGCAGCACAGUAAGAGCUUGCUCUUACGGGUGGCGAGUGGCGGACGGGUGAGGAAUACAUCGGAAUCUACUUUUUCGUGGGGGAUAACGUAGGGAAACUUACGCUAAUACCGCAUACGACCUACGGGUGAAAGCAGGGGAUCUUCGGACCUUGCGCGAUUGAAUGAGCCGAUGUCGGAUUAGCUAGUUGGCGGGGUAAAGGCCCACCAAGGCGACGAACCGUAGCUGGUCUGAGAGGAUGAGCAGCCACACUGGAACUGAGACACGGUCCAGACUCCUACGGGAGGCAGCAGUGGGGAAUAUUGGACAAUGGGCGCAAGCCUGAUCCAGCCAUACCGCGUGGGUGAAGAAGGCCUUCGGGUUGUAAAGCCCUUUUGUUGGGAAAGAAAAGCAGCAGGUUAAUACCCCGCUGUUCUGACGGUACCCAAAGAAUAAGCACCGGCUAACUUCGUG
rnacentral:rRNA from 1 species